GCAUAUCAAUAAGCGGAGGAAAAGAAACCAACAGGGAUUGCCCUAGUAACGGCGAGUGAAGCGGCAACAGCUCAAAUUUGAAAUCUGGCUCUUUCAGGGUCCGAGUUGUAAUUUGCAGAGGGCGCUUUGGCAUUGGCAGCGGUCCAAGUUCCUUGGAACAGGACGUCACAGAGGGUGAGAAUCCCGUACGUGGUCGCUGGCCUUUGCCGUGUAAAGCCCCUUCGACGAGUCGAGUUGUUUGGGAAUGCAGCUCUAAAUGGGAGGUAAAUUUCUUCUAAAGCUAAAUACUGGCCAGAGACCGAUAGCGCACAAGUAGAGUGAUCGAAAGAUGAAAAGCACUUUGGAAAGAGAGUCAAAUAGCACGUGAAAUUGUUGAAAGGGAAGCGCUUGCAGCCAGACUUGCCUGUAGUUGCUCAUCCGGGCUCUUGCCCGGUGCACUCUUCUAUAGGCAGGCCAGCAUCAGUUUGGGCGGUUGGAUAAAGGUCUCUGUCACGUACCUCCCUUCGGGGAGGCCUUAUAGGGGAGACGACAUGCAACCAGCCUGGACUGAGGUCCGCGCAUUUGCUAGGAUGCUGGCGUAAUGGCUGUAAGCGGCCCGUCUUGAAACACGGACCAAGGAGUCUAACAUCUAUGCGAGUGUUUGGGUGUCAAGCCCGAGCGCGUAAUGAAAGUGAACGGAGGUGGGAACCCUUUAGGGUGCACCAUCGACCGAUCCUGAUGUCUUCGGAUGGAUUUGAGUAAGAGCAUGGCUGUUGGGACCCGAAAGAUGGUGAACUAUGCUUGAAUAGGGUGAAGCCAGAGGAAACUCUGGUGGAGGCUCGCAGCGGUUCUGACGUGC
rnacentral:rRNA from 1 species